rnacentral:rRNA from 1 species
CGUGUAGGCGGUCCGGUAAGUCGGCUGUGAAAGUCCAGGGCUCAACCCUGGGAUGCCGGUCGAUACUGCCGGACUAGAGUUCGGAAGAGGCGAGUGGAAUUCCCGGUGUAGCGGUGAAAUGCGCAGAUAUCGGGAGGAACACCUAUGGCGAAGGCAGCUCGCUGGGACGUUACUGACGCUGAGACGCGAAAGCGUGGGGAGCAAACA